rnacentral:rRNA from 1 species
UACGGAGGAUCCAAGCGUUAUCCGGAAUUACUGGGCGUAAAGAGUUGCGUAGGCGGCAUUGUAAGCAGGUAGUGAAAUCGUGUGGCUCAACCAUACUCACAUUAUCUGAACUGCAAAGCUAGAGGACAAGAGAGGUUGUUGGAAUUCCUUGUGUAGGAGUGAAAUCCGUAGAUAUAAGGAGGAACACCGAUGGCGUAGGCAGAUAACUGGCUUGUUCCUGACGCUCAGGCACGAAAGCGUGGGUAGCAAACGGG